ensembl:lncRNA
CUGCUUUUGAAUAGUGAUGUAGUGAUAGCGACAAAGCUGACAGGACUGGUAAGGAAUUAGAGAUGCUGGGAGGCUGUGGGACAGAACUGCCCCCAACAGUCUCAAAAGUCACUUCCAUAAAUGAGGGCCGAGAUGUUGCUGAAUGGUCAGUGAACUUCAGCAGAAGUAAGGAGCUCUGUUUCUUAGAGACAAAGUGCCAAAGAAGCCUGCUUGCAAUAUGACAGGUACUCAUCUGUACUGAGCGGAUCUGCCCGUGCCCCUUCGAGGAUCCCUUCCGUCCCUCCCCACCAGCGUUGUUGGGGGAUUAAAGCGGCGGCGGCCCCAUACACAAACGCAGCUGGUUCCGUUUGGUCAGCCUGAGCCUUGCUGUGAAACCACGACAAGAAUUCCAGUAAGUUGGCAACACUGAAACACAAAGAAAACAACAAUAGGAAAAGUCCUUCCGUGCAGAAAGGAAUGUUUCAAGCGCUGUUCUCCUACGGUGAAAGGAGAGCGGGUGGGAGGGAGGAGGGAGAUUUGAAGAGGGCAGGUCCCCUCCCCCGGCAGCUCUGGAUCUUGUGAUGGAGAGAUCUUAUCCUCUCUUUGUG